rnacentral:rRNA from 1 species
CCCCACUAUGCUUAGCCUUAAACUCAGAUGUAAAUACGUACAAACAACAUCCGCCAGGGGACUACAAGCGCUAGCUUAAAACCCAAAGGACUUGACGGUGUCUCAGACCCGCCUAGAGGAGCCUGUUCUAGAACCGAUAAUCCCCGUUAAACCUCACCAUCCCUUGUCUUCCCCGCCUAUAUACCGCCGUCGCAAGCUUACCCUAUGAAGGACUUACAGUAAGCAAAAUGGGCCCACCCCAGAACGUCAGGUCGAGGUGUAGCUCACGAGAUGGAAAGAAAUGGGCUACAUUUUCUACAACAGAAUAUCACGAACGGCACCAUGAAACCUAGUGCCCGAAGGUGGAUUUAGCAGUAAAAAACAAACAGAGCGUGUUUUUGAAUCAGGCUCUG